UAAUACGAAGGGGGCUAGCGUUGUUCGGAAUUACUGGGCGUAAAGCGCGCGCAGGCGGUCCUUCAAGUCAGGGGUGAAAGCCCAGGGCUCAACCCUGGAAUGGCCUUUGAGACUAGAGGACUUGGGUACGGGAGAGGUGAGUGGAAUUCCGAGUGUAGAGGUGAAAUUCGUAGAUAUUCGGAAGAACACCAGUGGCGAAGGCGGCUCACUGGCCCGUUACCGACGCUCAGGCGCGAUAGCGUGGGGAGCAAACAGGAUUAGAUACCCUGGUAGUCCACGCCGUAAACGAUGGAUGCUAGCCGUUGGUAAGCAUGCUUAUCAGUGGCGCAGCUAACGCAUUAAGCAUCCCGCCUGGGGAGUACGGCCGCAAGGUUG
rnacentral:rRNA from 1 species